rnacentral:rRNA from 1 species
AACGAACGCUGGCGGCAGGCUUAACACAUGCAAGUCGAGCGCCCCGCAAGGGGAGCGGCAGACGGGUGAGUAACGCGUGGGAAUCUACCUAGCUCUACGGAAUAGCUCCGGGAAACUGGAAUUAAUACCGUAUACGUCCUUCGGGAGAAAGAUUUAUCGGAGUUGGAUGAGCCCGCGUUGGAUUAGCUAGUUGGUGGGGUAAUGGCCUACCAAGGCGACGAUCCAUAGCUGGUCUGAGAGGAUGAUCAGCCACACUGGGACUGAGACACGGCCCAGACUCCUACGGGAGGUAGCAGUGGGGAAUAUUGGACAAUGGGCGAAAGCCUGAUCCAGCCAUGCCGCGUGAGUGAUGGAGGCCCUAGGGUUGUAAAGCUCUUUCAACGGUGAAGAUAAUGACGGUAACCGUAGAAGAAGCCCCGGCUAACUUCGUGCCAGCAGCCGCCGUAAUAC